rnacentral:rRNA from 1 species
CAGGUGCUGCAUGGCUGUCGUCAGCUCGUGUCGUGAGAUGUUGGGUUAAGUCCCGCAACGAGCGCAACCCUUGUCAUUAGUUGCUACGAAAGGGCACUCUAAUGAGACUGCCGGUGACAAACCGGAGGAAGGUGGGGAUGACGUCAAGUCCUCAUGGCCCUUAUGGGUAGGGCUUCACACGUCAUACAAUGGUACAUACAGAGCGCCGCCAACCCGCGAGGGGGAGCUAAUCGCAGAAAGUGUAUCGUAGUCCGGAUUGUAGUCUGCAACUCGACUGCAUGAAGUUGGAAUCGCUAGUAAUCGCGGAUCAGCAUGGCGCGGUGAAGACGUUCCCGGGAUUGUACAACGCA